rnacentral:rRNA from 1 species
GAUUAUGGCUCAGGAUGAACGCUAGCGACAGGCCUAACACAUGCAAGUCGAGGGGCAGCGCGGGAGAAGCUUGCUUUCCUGGCGGCGACCGGCGCACGGGUGCGUAACAGGUGUGCAAUCUGUCCAUAGUCGGGGGAUAGCCCAGCGAAAGCUGAAUUAAUACUCCAUGUGAAUCGAAGCCGCAUGACUUUGAUUUGAAACGCAAGGACUAUGGGUGAGCACGCUUCUGAUUAGGUAGUUGGUGGGGUAACGGCCCACCAAGCCGACGAUCAGUAGGGUUCUGAGAGGAAGGUCCCCCACAUUGGAACUGAGACACGGUCCAAACUCCUACGGGAGGCAGCAGUGAGGAAUAUUGGUCAAUGGGCGAGAGCCUGAACCAGCCAAGUCGCGUGAAGGAUGAAGGUUCUAUGGAUUGUAAACUUCUUUUGUCCGAGGGUAAAAAAGGCCACGUGUGGCUUCUUGCAAGUAUCGGACGAAUAAGCAUCGGCUAACUCCGUGCCAGCAGCCGC